UUCCUUAUCUCCCUAUUCCUUCUUUCUUUAAUCCUUCUUAUUUCUCCUUUUAAGACCGACAGUCUGAGAGAAACAAAGAAGAAAAAAAAAAAAAUACAGAGAGUGUAAGAUGAGAGUUUUGGUGAGAAGCUGUCAGGACCCGGUUCCCUUCUUCCUUCUUCUUCCUCUUUUAUUUCUCCUUUUUUUUUUCUGUUCUACUCCUCUACACUGAGGCUCAUGUGGCACAGCAGAAAAUGAGAAAGGAAAUUGAGAGGGAAGCCGAAUCCAUAGCAACCUGUGACCCAUCGACACGGCCAAACCCCGAAGCCGUGAACCGAAGACCAUGCAUGCACUAAACUCAGCCAGUGAACCGAGAGUUAGAGGGAGAUUUAGAGAUGGAGUGAAGAAACUGAGUAGGGAGAAAGCUAGACAGCAACUUCCUUCUUCAUUCUUUCUCCAUUUUAUGCAAAGCUCUCCCGGUCUGCGUUAUUUUCUGCAACUUUCUUUCCUUCUAUUUUGCUGUUUUGUCCAUUUCAGCAAACAGCCCUUCAAACCCAGCAGCGAUCCAGCCCAACCCAAUCUGAUCUGACCCAACCAAGCCCAUGACCACCAUGGGCUGACUUCAGCUCAAACCCACUGAGCCCAGACCGAAGCCAUUAAACCCAGCAGUAACCCAGACCCACCGAGCUUGACCCGAACCCGGAAUCCCGACCCGCCGGCGACCCGCCGCCGGCAGUGUCUCCGGCAGCUUCUCCGGCGACUUUUCCGGUGACUUUUCCGGCCACUUUCCGGCCACUUUUCCGGCGACUUCCCGGCCACUUUUCCGGCGACUUUCCGGCUAUUUUCCCCGGCGACCAAACUCACCGUUUCGCUGGAUUUUCGAGUGGAAAUCCUUAAUAUGUUUGCGCAGGUACUGAAGAUUAUGGAUUGGAUUAACUGCUAGCUUAUGAGAUUUAUAGCUGUGUAGUUAGGUUUUAGUACUUUGUACUUAUAGGUGUUUGUACUAUUUGCUUGUAAUAUGUCUAGACAUUUACUUGUAAUUAAUAAGUUCCAUGCAUGCUUUAGUGUCACAUGUGACAUAUGUUUCUUUGUAAAUAGUGUAAAGACUUUAAAUGUAUUUUCUAGAAGAUGUCAGUUAAAGCUCUGAAUAUAUCGUAA